CAACAACUGGGUAUCAAUGAACCAUUAGUCUUCGCGGAUACACAUUAAAAGUGCAGGUCUACAACUUUAUCAGCAAAUGGUGUCCACAAAAACACCGACUUAAUGCAAAUCCCAAACCUCGUCCCAAACAAUAAAAUGGCUACGAUGCUAUUUCAUAAAUCGCAAUAAGGCAAACUACAACGAACGCCAAAGAAACGACGACGCAAUAAAACGGUAGAAAUGAAGUUGAUUUUCCAGCUAUACUCUACACGGACCGAUCACAGAAUUCGCGGGUUACAUUCCGUCGUGAGAAUUUUCAAGUUUCACGUUUUUUUUCUUGGAAAUGCUGCGAAAAUCUUCGUCCGGGCGCAGCUACGGUUCUAUGGAAAUGAUAUUUGGCUUUCAACGUAAUUUCGCUCUUCUAGUUUUCGCCUCGAAGAAGAUUCGCAAAAAAAAUGCACGGCUCGGCUCUGCGAACACAACUAGCGCAGAUUUUGCACUGGGUGAUGCCGUACAAUCAUUAGGGGGGGGUCAUCAUGUUUCAUUCCUCCGACAUCCCUGACUACAGGGACGCCGGAGGCGAGCUACUCAGGCUUGCCAGAGCCUCUUCGGCCAGAGAACGGGAAUGUAAGGAUAGGUAAAGUUAGGGAUGGGAACGGAAGGAACAGCGUUAUGGUGCUGAGGGGGAGAAUAGUGCUGCUUUUCCUACUAUAUGCACGUGUCGGUUUCGUAAAAUAUAAACCAAUCAACGGUUCAUCUUACUACACUGGAUUGUAUAAAUAUCUAUCUCGCGCUAGUAUAAAGUUUAUGUCAUUCAACAUUGAUAACAUAUAGACGUAUUUAACAACCUAAUUCCGAAUACAUUCUGUAAAACACAAAAUCAUGUUUUUCUUGUUCCCGUUCCCGUUGGAAUUUCGGAACGUAUUUUACUACAUCGGAAACCGUCGUGGGCAUACGUAAUUGAUACGUUUGACCGUCUAUUUUUUCGCGGUACACUACUAACCGGCGAUUCCUUAACCGGCAAUAACCAAAUCGAUCAGACAAAUACUUUUCAAGAUACGAAUUAUGAGGUUUCAAAAGAAACCAGAAAGAAAUGAAGAAUUUUUUAAAUUUUAAUUAACGACUAAUAAUAAAACAAAA